rnacentral:rRNA from 1 species
AGAGCGAACGCUGGCGGCAGGCCUAACACAUGCAAGUCGAGCGCCCCGCAAGGGGAGCGGCAGACGGGAGAGUAACACGUGGGAACGUACCCUUCAGUUCGGAACAACCCAGGGAAACUUGGGCUAAUACCGAAUACGUCCGUAAGGAGAAAGAUUUAUCGCUGAAGGAUCGGCCCGCGUCUGAUUAGCUUGUUGGUGAGGUAACGGCUCACCAAGGCGACGAUCAGUAGCUGGUCUGAGAGGAUGAUCAGCCUCACUGGGACUGAGACACGGCCCAGACUCCUACGGGAGGCAGCAGUGGGGAAUAUUGGACAAUGGGCGCAAGCCUGAUCCAGCCAUGCCGCGUGGGUGAUGAAGGCCCUAGGGUUGUAAAGCCCUUUCGGCGGGGAAGAUAAUGACGGUACCGCAGAAGAAGCCCCGGCUAACUUCGUGCCAGCAGCCGC